GCGUCUGUAGUCCAACGGUUAGGA
rnacentral:ncRNA from 3 species